UGGGAGGGGUCAUCCGGGGGUGUGGAGCUCGAUGUCAUCAGUAUGCUGAUGAUACUCAGCUCUACAUCUCCUUUCCACCUACUGCAGGAGAUGCCCUUCUGUCCCUUCAGUGCUGCCUGGCGACUGUACUGAAAUGGAUGCAGGAGAACGGGCUGAGGCUGAACCCGGACAAGACGGAGGUGCUGAGGGUGGGUGUCCCCACAGUCGAGGGUUUGGGAAACUCCCUCUCUUUUGGGGGGGUGACCCUCCCUGCCAAGGAUGGGGUCUGCAGUUUGGGGAUCCAUCUGGACCCGGCGCUCACUAUGGAAUCCCAGGUGGCGUCCGUGGUCCGAUCUGCCUUUUACCACCUUAGGCGGAUAGCCCAGCUGCGGCCCUAUCUCAACGUGGGGGCCCUCACUACCUUGGUACAUGUGCUCGUAAUCUCAAGAUUAGACCACUGUAAUGCGCUCUACGUGGGGCUGCCUUUGAGGCUGCUGUGGAAACUACAGGUGGUGCAGAAUGCUGUGGCCAGACUUCUCAGUGGUGUGAAAAAAAUCCAACAUAUUUCGCCCACUCUGGCUGCACUGCAUUGGCUGCCCAUCCGAUUCCAUAUCAACUUCAAAGUGUUGAUGCUUACGUACAAAGCCCUAAACGGCUUAGGGCCUCGAUACUUGGCGGAACGCCUACUUCCACCAAGUUCUACCCGUGACACUCGCGCGAGUCGGGAGGUGAGGCUGAGGAGCCUAACGCCGAGGGAGGCCCAGAAGGAAAAGACAAGAAAUCGGGCCUUCUCGGCGGUGACUCCUCGCCUCUGGAAUAACCUUCCCCCUGACAUCCGUGCGGCUCCCUCGCUGGGUAUUUUUAAAAAUCAGUUAAAAACACUGAUGUUUCGGCAGGCCUUCCCCUCAGCCAAUUCCUGAUCUUUCCUCUUUUUCUCUCCCCUCGUUUUUGUCUCAUCUUGUCUAAGUUCUUUCCUUUAUUUAAAAUUGUUUUAAUCAUAUUGUAAUUACGUUUGUUGUAAGCCGCCUAGAGUGGUCUUAAGUGGCUAGAUAGGUGGAAUAUAAACAAACAAACAAACAAACAAACAAGA
rnacentral:lncRNA from 1 species